GAAAAAACAUUAAUUCAACGUCAAAACAACGUUGAACACCAAAUAGUUGAAGUGGUGUUGUUAACUCACUUCGGAUUCAACAUAGAAAUAUCAACAAUUUUUGAGUUUUACGUCAAAUCAACAUUAUUUUUACGACCAUGACUUUUAAACAUUUUGUUGAAAUAUAUCAGUAGAAAAAUAACGUUGUUCCAACAUCUAAACAAUGCUGAUCAAUUAACUGUUGAAAAAGUGUUGAUACAUGAAUAAUGAUACAACGGUGAAAGACCAACUCUGAAAUUAAACGUUUGUUGAGUCGUGACAAAGAAUUUCUUCUUUGGUCGUGAUAAAAGCGCUUUCUACAUCUCCCAGCGUACUUUGAGAGCAACUCCAGUCCGAUUGAUCAUUUUGGAAUGUCGUUCAAUAAAAGGGCUUGAUUGGAGGACGGCGUUUGUCCGUCAGACAAAGAGGGUGACUAGAACUGAAUUCUAUUGGCUCUGACGGUUCCAGACAACACCCGCUUGCGCAUGCGCAUGCGCAAAGUGGGUCUGUGUCGUCAUCGUCAGGCUAGCUUAACCUGGACCGGUUCGGAUUGAAUUUGGGGGUAACAGCUCAAACGAGAUUUGGAAGAACAUGACCUGAAAGUCUCCUUCAACGAACUAUGACAAAUAAAAUGAUGGCCAUAAUGAGCCUCAGAGGAAGAAGUGGGAAGGUUGCCUUCAUGAAGACUCAUCUCUACAAGAUAAUCUGACGCUGUCUUGAGCUCAUAUGAUAAAACUACAACAAAAGUAGACAAAUACAUGGCCAAAUACUUGAUAUAUGCACCAGAGAGGACGGGUGGCAGUGGCAGAAAGAAGUAACAAGAAGGGAAGAUUUAACCAGCAGUGUUCAAUGUUGCCCAAUGUUUGGGCCAUUUUUCUAAAGGUUAAAGUUCG